GAUGAACGCUGGCGGCGUGCCUAAUACAUGCAAGUCGAGCGAACGGACGAGAAGCUUGCUUCUCUGAUGUUAGCGGCGGACGGGUGAGUAACACGUGGAUAACCUACCUAUAAGACUGGGAUAACUUCGGGAAACCGUAGCUAAUACCGGAUAACAUUUUGAACCGCAUGGUUCAAAAGUGAAAGACGGUCUUGCUGUCACUUAUAGAUGGAUCCGCGCUGCAUUAGCUAGUUGGUAAGGUAACGGCUUACCAAGGCAACGAUGCAUAGCCGACCUGAGAGGGUGAUCGGCCACACUGGAACUGAGACACGGUCCAGACUCCUAAGGGAGGCAGCAGUAGGGAAUCUUCCGCAAUGGGCGAAAGCCUGACGGAGCAACGCCGCGUGAGUGAUGAAGGUCUUCGGAUCGUAAAACUCUGUUAUUAGGGAAGAACAUAUGUGUAAGUAACUGUGCACAUCUUGACGGUACCUAAUCAGAAAGCCACGGCUAACUACGUG
rnacentral:rRNA from 1 species